rnacentral:rRNA from 1 species
ACGCUCGACACCUACGGGUGGCAGCAGUUGGGAAUAUUGGACAAUGGAGGAAACUCUGAUCCAGUGACGCCGCGUGAAGGAAGAAGGUCUUCGGAUUGUAAACUUAUUUUGUCAGGGAAGAAAAAUGACUGUACCUGAAGAAAAAGCACCGGCUAACUACGCGCCAGCAGCCGCGGUAAUCUGAGCGGGCUGGCAAGGC